UGGGGCUGAGCUGGGCCUCCGGAGCUCCUCCACGGGAAAAGCUGCCCUUGGCGGGGGGGAAUGCAGCUCCCGGCCCACCCCCGCGGCCUUGCCUGAGGGUGACGGGGGCCCCUCCCCGUCUUCAUGAGGGGGAGAGCGCACCUGCCAAGGAUUCGGGUGGAAGUGCCUUGGAGAGGAGAGUUUGGGUGGCAGAGGGGACGAUUGCUCCCAGGAGGGAUUCCCGGUUCUCCUGGGCAUCCCCCACGCUGUGAGGGAGGGAGCAGCCACUGCCCGAGUCAAGGUUUUGGAAGGUUUACUUGAUUGCACAGCACUUGGAAGACUUUGAUGCACUUGUAACACCCACGUGAGGUAGGGUGUAUGGCUACCUUCACAGCAGCAACAGGAGGACCCACAGAAAUAAGAUCACCACUUGGAAGGAGCUGUGAUAUCAAGUCUGUUCUUAUUCUGCACUCUGGAAUGGGGCCCUGCUCUCUCAUCCUGGCUCUCUGGAAGUGCAUGAGAGGUAAUACUGUGUGAGAUUGGUGUCUGAAGCAGUGGAGCAGGAACUGACAUUCAGCAGAGACAAAUGCAGGGUCCUGCACCUGUGGAGGAACAACUCCAGGCACCAGCAGAGGCUGGGGACCGA